rnacentral:tRNA from 1 species
UAAGCAGAAGCCAAUAAUAGGCGUUUAACUGUUAAUUAUUUCUAAGCCACUAAACGUGGCCUGCUUAA